CACGUAGUUAGCCGGGGCUUCUUACUCAGGUACCGUCAUUUAUUCUUCCCUGCUGAUAGAGCUUUACAUAACGAAUUACUUCUUCACUCACGCGGCGUCGCUGCAUCAGGGUUCCCCCCAUUGUGCAAUAUCCCCCACUGCUGCCUCCCGUAGGAGUCUGGGCCGUGUCUCAGUCCCAAUGUGGCCGUCCGCCCUCUCAGGCCGGCUACUGAUCGUCGCUUUGGUAGGCCGUUACCCUGCCAACUGGCUAAUCAGACGCGGGCCCAUCGUAUACCGUCUCGGCUUUUCACACUCCAGUAUGCACUGCUGUGCGCUUAUGCGGUAUUAGCACCUAUUUCUAAGUGUUAUCCCCCUGUAUACGGUAGGUUGCCCACGCGUUACUCACCCGUCCGCCACUAAGAUACAUUUUCCUUCAGACGAAUCCUCAUUCCAAUAUAUCCCCGUUCGACUUGCAUGUGUUAGGCACGCCGCCAGCGUUCAUCCUGAGCCAGGAUCAAA
rnacentral:rRNA from 1 species